rnacentral:rRNA from 1 species
UGAGGAAUAUUGGUCAAUGGACGAGAGUCUGAACCAGCCAAGUAGCGUGAAGGAUGAAGGUUCUAUGGAUUGUAAACUUCUUUUAUACGGGAAUAAACGGAUCCACGUGUGGAUUUUUGCAUGUACCGUAUGAAUAAGGAUCGGCUAACUCCGUGCCAGCAGCCGCGGUAAUACGGAGGAUCCGAGCGUUAUCCGGAUUUAUUGGGUUUAAAGGGAGCGUAGAUGGGUUGUUAAGUCAGUUGUGAAAGUUUGCGGCUCAACCGUAAAAUUGCAAUUGAUACUGGCAGUCUUGAGUACAGUUGAGGUAGGCGGAAUUCGUGGUGUAGCGGUGAAAUGCUUAGAUAUCACGAAGAACUCCGAUUGCGAAGGCAGCUUACUAACCUGUAACUGACAUUGAUGCUCGAAAGUGUGGGUAUCAAACAGGAUUAGAUACCCUGGUAGUCCACACGGUAAACGAUGGAUACUCGCUGUUGGCGAUAUACUGUCAGCGGCCAAGCGAAAGCAUUAAGUAUUCCACCUGGGGAGUACGCCGGCAACGGUGAAACUCAAAGGAAUUGACGGGGGCCCGCACAAGCGGAGGAACAUGUGGUUUAAUUCGAUGAUACGCGAGGAACCUUACCCGGGCUUAAAUUGCAGACGAAUUACUUGGAAACAGGUAAGCCGCAAGGCGUCUGUGAAGGUGCUGCAUGGUUGUCGUCAGCUCGUGCCGUGAGGUGUCGGCUUAAGUGCCAUAACGAGCGCAACCCUCGUGGCCAGUUACUAGCAGGUAACGCUGAGGACUCUGGCCAGACUGCCAUCGUAAGAUGCGAGGAAGGUGGGGAUGACGUCAAAUCAGCACGGCCCUUACGUCCGGGGCUACACACGUGUUACAAUGGGAGGUACAGAAGGCAGCUACCCGGCGACGGGAUGCCAAUCUCCAAAGCCUCUCUCAGUUCGGACUGGAGUCUGCAACCCGACUCCACGAAGCUGGAUUCGCUAGUAAUCGCGCAUCAGCCACGGCGCGGUGAAUACGUUCCC